rnacentral:tRNA from 1 species
GGUUGUGGCUCAGUGGUAGAGCACUCGCUUAGCAUGUGUGAGGCACUGUGUUCAAUCCUCAGCACCA